AUUAUUCAGCUCUAUCCAUCGCCAUUAAUUAAAAAUUGAUUCAUUGAUAAAUUUUUUACUUUUCGAUAUUCUUAAAUCGGUUCCCACCUUAAAAAAAAUUCUGAAUCCAUUGAAUAAUGGCUUAACAAAUUUUUUCCGAUGUUCUUUUCACCGAAUUCGAAGAUAAAGCAACAAUCGUUAUUUUGAUUUAUCAUGAAAAUUUGCGAAAAUUUUAUAUUUUUCGAAUAUAUUCCUGCAGACAUAUUUGGAUAUUAUUCUUAAAAUUAAUUCAACCAUAGGUAAAAACGUUUGUUUCAAUGCCACGAAAUCGAAGUUGAAAGAUAGUUACGAUAGCUAUCUCCGUUAAUUUGAUUUUUAUGAUGAUUUUUGAAAAUUUCUAAUAUUUCAUGAAUUUUCCUGAAAGUGAGCUAUCUAAUGGUUUCUUCAAAUGUGAUAUUGCAAAUUCGUUCAAUUACAUAUAACUACAAAUUUUUUAUUUUUAUUUUUUCGAUUUUUAAAAUGAUAUAGAUGUCAUUCUUUUAUUUGAUGUAUACCAGAUCUUCGGAAAUUAUUCUGUUAGCAUUCGAAACGUUGUCGGUUUUCCAUUAUUGCGGAAAAAUUCAACUAAGUCGAAAAUCUGCCACAAUUUGUUAAAAACAUUAUUAACUUUAAUAAAAUUAAAUAAACUAUAAAUUAUAUAGGGUAGAUAGAAAUGACAUACAAUAUGAGCACUCGGCAGCAUAUUGCUAAUUUAUUAACAAAAAUAACUAUGCCAUAUGCAAUAUAUUAAUAAUUUAACACUUAUUUUCGGUUUAAAUCGAAAGGAAUUAAAUUCUAGAUUGAUUGAUUUCAAAAUUGAUUUUUCAUCCGCCUCGCCAUUUUACAAUAUUGAACACUUGUUAUGUACUAUUUUAAUGUUACACUACUCAGAAUAAUAAUUUUGAUAUGGUAUGAAAAAAGUAAAAAAAACAGUAAACCGAUAAAACAUAAUUUUUCUAUGUAAUCUAACGAACGUUUUGAAAAAAAAAGCGUGAAUCGGAUGAAAGUUAUGGUGUAAGGAGCAUUUCAAAGCCAAAUCACGAAAACCAACCCUUUCGCCUGACGUAAGAGGUAAAAUGGACUGGGUAUGAAAUUUUUUUUAGUUUUUAUGUACCUCAUGAUAUGUCAAAAGUCGCUCAAUAUUUAUUUUCGUCAACCGAAGACUUUCAAAUUUCACCUGGGUCCCCCCUUAAGAAUAUUGAGGUUAUGGAUGCAUAAUUUGACAUAUGUGCUUCUCUAUUUGUUUAUUCUUCCAUUUUUAGUAAUGAUGAGAGCCGUCCAUCAGACUUCAGUGACAACUGGAAUAAAUUUAAAGAUUGCGCUCAAAUUUGCCGCGCGCGGAGGGAUACAUGACAUGCCGUCGUGGAUAGUGGUGGGGAGUCUUCGGCAAAAACCCGAUGUUCCUUCUUUCCUGGCGAGAACUAUAUAGGUAAUCGUCGUCGACUUAAGAGGCCAAAAAUCAAAGGACCAAAUUGCUACUGCUUGUCCUUCAUUGUAUCUUCUUCCUCUUCUGAAUGAAGGGAAAUAAAGCAUCACUUCACUACUCAAAUAAACAAAUAUCGAGCUCCAAUAAUCUAAUUACACAUAAGUGUCGAGCAAAAUACGAUCUUGAGGAUGGUAAUGUGGGAAGUGUAGCGAUAAAAAUGUGAAAAUUUCGACUUCAGUGAGAAAAUAUGCAAUACUCUUGGCAAAACCUGUGAAGAGAUGAAAAUAUUAAUAUCGAUAAUUCGAUAAAACUGUUAUGAGAAAAGCCAAAGUAUUAUAAUUCAUCUACAGAAUUAUAUGAAAAAAAAAAAAUUCAAGUGAAUGAUUAAAAUUAAAACAUGA